AUACGGAGGGUGCAAGCGUUAUUCGGAAUCACUGGGCGUAAAGGACGCGUAGGCGGGUAGGCAAGUCAGAUGUGAAAUCCUACAGCUUAACUGUAGAACUGCAUUUGAAACUGCUAACCUAGAGUAUGGGAGGGGGAGAUGGAAUUAGUGGUGUAGGGGUAAAAUCCGUAGAUAUCACUAGGAAUACCGAAAGCGAAGGCGAUCUCCUGGAACAUAACUGACGCUAAGGCGUGAAAGCGUGGGGAGCAAACAGGAUUAGAAACCCUAGUAGUCC
rnacentral:rRNA from 1 species